rnacentral:rRNA from 1 species
UAAGUUUGAUGUCAAAUAUGAUGGCUCAACCAUCAAGAGGCGUUGAAAACUGUUUAUCUAGAAUCUCGGAGAGGUAAGUGGAAUUCCAUGUGUAGCGGUGGAAUGCGUAGAUAUAUGGAGGAACACCAAUGGCGAAGGCAGCUUACUGGACGAAGAUUGACGCUGAGGUGCGAAAGCGUGGGUAGGCAAACAGGAUUAGAUACCCUGGUAG